UUUUAUCGGUUGGAACAAGUUAGUAACAGCCCCAGUUCUGUUGGGUAUAUGAGGCUAAAGGAGUUCAAUGCAUUGGCUAGAAAAGAUCUGGUCAUUGGUAAUUUUUAUUUUUAUUUUAGUGGAUCUCACCUGAUUGCUAUUUAUGAUGAGCAUGUUUGUGAUGAAUAACUUAAAAUUUUUUUUAUGUGUCUUUGAAAAAUAAUGCAAGCUAUGAAAAGAUCUGGUCAUUGGUAAUUUUUAUUUUUAUUUUAGUGGAACUCACCUGAUUGCUAUUUAUGAUGAGCAUGUUUGUGAUGAAUAACUUAAAAUUUUUUUUAUGUGUCUUUGAAAAAUAAUGCAAGCUAUGACUGUUUAAGUGUUUAUUCCCUCCCACUUUUUCCCACACGCACUUACUGC
rnacentral:lncRNA from 1 species